CGACUAAGCGCAUACGGUGGAUGCCUUGGCAAUUGGAGGCGAUGAAGGACGUUGGAGCCUGCGAAAAGCUUUGGGGAGUCGGCAACCAGACUUUGAUCCAAAGAUGUCCGAAUGGGGAAACCCACCUGGGAUAACCCAGGUAUCCUUUGACUGAAUACAUAGGUCUUAGGAGGCGAACCAGGGGAACUGAAACAUCUAAGUACCCUUAGGAAAAGAAAUCAACCGAGAUUCCCCUAGUAGCGGCGAGCGAACGGGGAGCAGCCCUUAAGCUGUUUAGAAUUUAGUGGAAUCCUUUGGGAAGAGGAGCGAUACAAGGUGAUAGCCCUGUACACGACGGAUUCUUUACAGUGAAAUCGAGUAGGUCGGGACACGUGUUAUCUUGACUGAAUAUGGGGGGACCAUCCUCCAAGGCUAAAUACUCCUGACUGACCGAUAGUGAACCAGUACCGUGAGGGAAAGGUGAAAAGUACCUUGAAUAAAGGGGUGAAAUAGAACCUGAAACCGCACGCCUACAAGCGGUCGGAGGCACCUAGUGUGCUGACGGCGUGCCUUUUGCAUAAUGAGCCUACGAGUUAC
rnacentral:rRNA from 18 species